CAAUCACAUUCCUGAGGAAAAACCGUGGAGCUCAGGGGACAAGGGUGAUGCACUUAGUUCUGGUAUCCUCUAUGUCAAGAGAAAGGUUGGAGCAUGUUCCUAUGUGGAUGAUCCUGCAGGGUGUCAGUCACUGCUGUCGCGAGCAAUGCACAAGGUGUUUGGCUUGACACGUCUGAGAGCUUCAGCAGCAAGUAAAGAUUGUCAAGAUGGUGACAUGGUAGAUCAGUUGAUCGGUACUUUCUCGUCGAACCCAAGCUUAAUUUCGUUUGCCCAGCUCUGCUGUGACCCUAACUGGAAUAGCAGAUCUGACAUUGACUUCCAAGAAUUUUGCUUACAAGUGUUAUUUGAGUGUGUAAGCAAGGACAGGCCAGCCCUAUUGCAGGUUUACCUGUCAUUAUACACAACUAUUGGUUCCAUGGUUGAUCGGGUUACUAAUGAUUCCAGCAAUUUACAGGACACUCUCUUCAUCUCAAGUCUGAAGAUAGCGCUGGCCUACAAUAAUAGUUUGCUAAGUAAAAGAUCAACAAGUUCAAAG
rnacentral:misc_RNA from 1 species